rnacentral:lncRNA from 1 species
CUUACCUUUAAGCCAUGUAAAACUAGUAGUAAUCUAUUAUUCUUUGAAACAUGGUAAGCAAGUUGGGUUAAUUGAUUUAUUUUUAUAGGUUAGAAACCAUUAUGCAAAAUUGGUAUUGUUUUAACACAAACAUAAGCUGAAAGAGUAUAGAUGGAGAAAAAUGAAAUGUGAUGUUCUGUGAAAACUGUUAAUUUUGUUAUCUUCUCUGAUCUACAAAGCUACAUUGUACUGUCACUGUGCCAGCAUAGAAUUUCCAUUUGUAUAUUUUAAAAAAAUAUAUCUUUUGAUGGAAUCAUCAAUAGUAGGAGCAGGUCAUUGUUAAUAAAAAGAGGCAUACGUUUGAGCAGCAGUUAAUUUAAUACGAAUGUGCAUUCAUGGUUAAAUUGGACAAUGUGGUAAAUCUAUGAUUACUCUGUGUAAGAAAAAAGAAACAAAUCUGUGAUGUCUCCCGAUAACAAUAAAUGAUUAACUAUGGCCUUAAUUUCAAAUACUUUCCAAACGAUUCAAUACUGUUAGAAACAUUUCCAAAUGAUUAAUUUAUAAAAACUCCUAUAGACGUUAACAGUGACAUCUGUGGAUAUAUCUCUUGGAAAGUUUUUCUAACAGUACUGAAAUAAUUUGAAAAGCUUAAUAAAUUGAGGCCUAUGUAUACCCAGGUUGAGCUACUGUGUGAAACCUUGGUUCACAGGUACAAGUAUGAUAUCCCCUUCUCUGCUUGUGUCCUUACAAGACCACCGCCCUUUAUUUUUAAUUUUUUUCUAGUUUCCAUUAUUACAUUCAGCAUGUUUCCUAUUAAAUUCAGUACAGUUCAUCUGCUAUUGGUUCUCUUAUCAACUCUUACAAGCUCUUUCUAUUGCUCUGUUCCAUUCUCAUAUGGUCUGUCUGCUUUUGUAUUUAUUUAGAGUUGUUAGAUUGUUUAACUUCUUAAGGACACAUGAUUAACAUUUUCUAUCAUGCUGGCCUUUUACUUCUGAAGCUGUGUCCUUAAGGGGUUAAGUACUAGCUGAAAAGUAACGUUGACACUCUUAAAGAACCACUAAAGUCAUCCAGACCACUUUAUCUCAAUGAAGUGGUCAGGGUUCAGUGUCCCUCUCCUUUUAACCCUGCAAUGUAAAACAAAUGCAGUUUUGUAGAAACUGUAAUGUGUACAUUGUACAGUUAAACACUCCUCUACCUAUUAGAAGCAUUUAAUUCUACACCUAUGAGGAGCAUUGGGUUGGCUAACUGUUUGAGAACCAAAUUAUGUUGUUGAGGGCAAAGUGGCUGGCAGUGCUGAAGGAGUCUCGGAGAAAUGGUAAGUAAAAGUCUUUAGGGGAGACUUUAAAUGAAUCUGCCGCUAGGGACCUAUAGUGUUAGGAAUAUAGAUUUGAAUUCCUAAUGCAACAGUGUUCCUUUAACUCUAAACUGAAAAUCUGUUGUGUUUACACUUUGUACAAAGGGGUAUUGCCUAAUGUCAGAUUCAAUAUCAAGGUGUUAAGGCCAGGCUCUAUCAAAACCGAAGAACUCUGUGCCUUGGUAUGCUGUUGGUUUAAUGAGCAUGACCUUUAUUCGGCAGCUUAUUAUGUUAAUGUUGUCUUUAUCCUGCCUCCUAGACUGUCACACAUGCUAAAUUUAAAUUGCAUCUACCAGGCUACUGAAUUAUUAAGGUUUAACAUAUGAAAACUUACUGAUUUUUCAUGGUAGCCAUUGUUUCAGGGCCCUGGCCUGCCUGCUGAUUAUGUUUCCUAGUGUCCUUCAUCGGGGCACCAGGACACUAUAUUGAAUCAGCACAGAUGCUUGUACUGUUCUACAGGUGCUAGAGACAUGCAUAGAGCACUUUAGAGGCACUCUUUGCAUGACCUUUUCUGUUGAGGGAUGGCUUCCGGCUGCCUGUCAUCUUAACGUGCUUGAAGCCAGAUUGACACAUUUCUUCAGUGGGUGAAACAGCCCAUUGGGGCAUCAUCAGUGAGGCAAGUUUAAGGCCCAUUGGAUUGGUCUACAUUCCUACAUGCUGAUACCUUAUGAGUGAUCCACAUGAAACCUUAGGAACCUCAAUGCCUUUUGAUAUUCAAUAAAUGGAGUCUCCAUUUUAAAAAAGCCAAUUUUCUGGGGUAAAUGCUACGCUUAGUGAGAUCAGGUGUCAAGGUGUCAAAUUAACCCUGUGGUACUGAAGUGAGAGCAAAAUAAGCUCACUGAGAGCAGAUCAGCUUUCUAGAGGCAUGUUAAAUACAUGCUAAAAAUAGUAAGGGACCUCCGGACCCCAAUAAUACUGUUUAGCCACACGAUGAGUGGCCCAUAAUCAAUUGGGGCCUGUGCAUUCAUGGAUAUAUCUGAGAUGUACAAAUUUGUAGCAUCUGCUAUAAGUUAAGAUUUGACAUAUUUUGAUUUCCAUAUAUUAAAUUCUUUAGGUGGAAUUUAUUAAAACAAAAGUACAUUUUAAAAAAGUUACCUUGAUAGAAUGUGAAAUAUUUGAAUAUGCGUGUGAAGUUUUCCAACAAACUUUUUAUUUCCGUUAAUUUGGCUUAUGCCAAAAGCAUCUCAUUGGUUUUUCUGUUUAUACAUCAUGUAUUGAUUGUUGUCUUGAUGAACAGCCUCAACCUGUCCAGCAAAAUGGUGUGAAAAAGCCUCACUGGUAGAGAUCUUUCUCUCAAGCUUUUUUGUAGAGAAUGAGGACAUUGAAAUAAGACACAACAUAGCAUUGUAAUAGCAUGCAUCAAAGAGGAAGGAAAAAAACCACAGUACACAUUUCUUCUUCUUCCCAAAAGAUUACAAGGUAAAGAAACAUUGCAGGUUUUUACGUCUUCCCUGGGGCAUGGUCAACACAUCCACCCUGUUCUCCAUAGGUUUGUUGCACUGAAAAGAGAUAAACAGAAAUGUAUACACACACAGAGAACACUGAGACACCUUCAUUGACUCACAUGGCGACUAAAAGGAUAUUGUGUAAGGUGGGAACAAAUCCACAAUGCAUCCAAAGUAAUUCAAUAGAGUUACAAAAUACAAAAAUGCACAGACUGUUUUUUUAAGGUUUUUCAUUUGUUAAUUUUUGUAACUACAAUGUUCAGUAUUUUAAUAACUAUAAAUAUUAGACGUGUGCAUUUAGUUUUGGCCGAAUUGCAAUUCAAGCAGCUAGUAGCUACUAGCUGUUUGGCCGAAUUCCGCAUUUAUGAAGCACCAGGCAGAUGCAUGAACACACAACUAGUGCAAUAGACCAGCAUGUUCGUUUAAUUUAGAAAUCAGAGGUCUACCUGUGUCACCCAAAAAAAAAGAGAUGAUUGAUGAAAAAAAAAAAAAUUGAUGGCUAGGAGACAGACUUUAAAUGUAGAUUAUAUUCACAGAUCAAGUAAGAAUUGACUAAUAGAGGGGAAAAAAGAAGGAGCAGAAAAAAAUAUAUAUAGUAUACAGAUAUUGAUAUUUUUUUUUUCUCUUUCUUGGUUACAUUUUUCUCACUUGAUCUGUGAACCAAAGAGCAGAUUGUGCGACUAUCAGUACAUUGAGAACUAUAUACAUAAUAAUUAUAUUAUAUACAAAGAUUUGCUACAGUGUUGAUGUUCCAGGAGGGAUAAGCCAAAUGGCAAAUAAUUUAGGUAAACUAGAAAAAUGGUCAGAGUUGUGGCAGGUGACAUUUGAUGUGGAUAAGUGCAAGAUAAUGCAUCUUGGACGUAAAAACCCAAGGGCAGAGUACAGAAUAUUUGAUAGAGUCCUAACCUCAACAAAUGAGGAAAGGGAUUUAGGGGUGAUUAUUUCUGAGGACUUAAAGAUAGGCAGACAAUGUAACAGAGCAGCAGGAAAUGCUAGCAGAAUGCUUGGUUAUAUAGGGAGAGGUAUUAGCAGUAGAAAGAGGGAAGUGCUCAUCCUAUUGUACAGAGCACUGGUAAGACCUCACUUGGAGUGUUGUACGCAGUACUGGAGACCGUAUUUCCAGAAGAUUUCAGAGAAGGACUACAAAACAAGUUUAUGAAUUGCGGGGUAAAACUUACUAGAAAAGGUUAAAGGUUUUUUCAAAUGUAUAACUUGGAGUAAAGACGAGACAGGGGGCAUAUGAUAGAAGAAUUUAAACACAUAAAGGGAAUCAACAUAGUAAAGGAGACUAUAUUUAAAAAGAAAAAGAAAAACUACAACAACAAGAGGACAUAGUCUUAAUUUAGAGGAGAAAGGGUUUAAAAAUAAUAGCAGGAAGUAUUACUUCACUGAGAGGGUAGUGGAUGCAUGGAAUAGCCUUCCAGAUGAAAUGGGAAUUUUUAAACAUGGACUAAUGAAAGUAUUUAGAAAAUUGGGCAGGCUAGAUGAGCCGAAUGGUUUUUACCUGCCGUCACAUUCUAUGUUUCUAUGUAUAUAUUUUACAGUACAAUGAUUGGCUAAUUUUUGCUCCAUUUUUUUGUUUGUCUGAAUCGUUCUCUUGAUUAUUUUUCAUGGAUGAUAUUUGAACCAGCUAGACCAUCAAAUGAAUGAGCGUCCAAAACGAAAUUUCAUUUACAGAAUGAACCAAAUUUUUCUGCUAUACACAAGUCUAAUCAUUAUGUCAAUUAAAUCAUUCAUGACAACGGUUAGGUAAAGCCUGUCUUAAUAUGUCACUUGUCGUGACAUGGUUACAAUGAAUGUAUUUCAUAUUUUUGUCACUGUUUUUCUGCAUGAGGUCACAUAAAAUGGUUGCUGAGGCAUGUUUCUAAAUAUGACUUAAAAGGAAAAAGCAUUGAUCAUCAUUGCAAGCUAUGUAUAAAUAUAAAUCCAGCUGAGCAAAAACACACUUCAGUAAAAAUGCCAAGGGACAAAAUACUUAAGUGUCAUCAUUUAUAACCAAAUUGGCACAAGUCGUAUGUGUUCACUGUUCCUACAUAUUAAAUUAUUCAGCAACAUACCUGGGAACCAUGAUGGCUGAGUGAGCUGGAAAUUUCAAUCUUUCUGCAGCUGCAAGAAAAGGGUUGGGUUUAACCAAGGGAGGUCUUCAUUUAUAUAUUUGUUAAUUAAUACAAUAGUUUUGACCAAGAGGCCUGGGUGAGUGGCUUCCUUUACAUAGCAAAUUUCCAACGUAUGAGGCUAAGUAUGUGGCUAGAACCUUUAUAGUGUAUCUCUUUAUUCUCCUGUAUUAUGAAAUUUGCCAUAAAAAAUUCUGACUUUGGCACAGUGUCAGUACAUUGUCCUUAAAGUGCUUCUAGAGAAAGUCACUAGUGUCUUAUGUCACAGAACACACAACUAAAGUUACAGAAGUGAGUCCCUAGUUCUGUUGUCUGCAUCCCUCAGAAAGAUUCCAUGCCUUUAAGGGGAGCAAAUUCCAAUGAGCCCUUCACAUGCUCUAUGUAAUAACAAUAGUAAUGUGAGUUCCAUGCCUUUUUAUUAAUAAACAUCUGAACAAAG